rnacentral:rRNA from 1 species
GACGAACGCUGGCGGCGUGCUUAACACAUGCAAGUCGAACGGAAAGGCCCUGCUUUUGUGGGGUGCUCGAGUGGCGAACGGGUGAGUAACACGUGAGUAACCUGCCCUUGACCUUGGGAUAACUUCAGGAAACUGGGGCUAAUACCGGAUAGGAGCUCCUGCUGCAUGGUGGGGGUUGGAAAGUUUCGGCGGUUGGGGAUGGACUCGCGGCUUAUCAGCUUGUUGGUGGGGUAGUGGCUUACCAAGGCUUUGACGGGUAGCCGGCCUGAGAGGGUGACCGGCCACAUUGGGACUAAGAUACGGCCCAGACUCCUACGGGAGGCAGCAGUGGGGAAUAUUGCACAAUGGGCGGAAGCCUGAUGCAGCAACGCCGCGUGCGGGAUGACGGCCUUCGGGUUGUAAACCGCUUUCGCCUGUGACGAAGCGUGAGUGACGGUAAUGGGUAAAGAAGCACCGGCUAACUACGUG